UACGAAGGGGGCUAGCGUUGCUCGGAAUCACUGGGCGUAAAGCGCACGUAGGCGGCUUUCUAAGUCAGGGGUGAAAUCCUGGAGCUCAACUCCAGAACUGCCUUUGAUACUGGGGAGCUCGAGUCCGGAAGAGGUGAGUGGAACUCCGAGUGUAGAGGUGAAAUUCGUAGAUAUUCGGAAGAACACCAGUGGCGAAGGCGGCUACACUGGUCCGGUACUGACGCUGAGGUGCGAAAGCGUGGGGAGCAAACAGG
rnacentral:rRNA from 1 species